AGAGUUUGAUCCUGGCUCAGGAUGAACGCUGGCGGCGUGCCUAACACAUGCAAGUCGAGCGAGAAACUCAUGACGGAAGCUUCGGUUGAAGUCAUGGGUGGAAAGCGGCGGACGGGUGAGUAACGCGUAGGCAAUCUGCCCUUUGCAGAGGGAUAGCCUCGGGAAACCGGGAUUAAAACCUCAUGAUGCCAUGUGAAGACAUCUUCAUAUGGUCAAAGAUUUAUCGGCAAAGGAUGGGCCUGCGUCUGAUUAGCUGGUUGGUGGGGUAACGGCUCACCAAGGCGACGAUCAGUAGCCGACCUGAGAGGGUGAUCGGCCACAUUGGAACUGAGACACGGUCCAAACUCCUACGGGAGGCAGCAGUGGGGAAUAUUGCACAAUGGGGGAAACCCUGAUGCAGCAACGCCGCGUGAAGGAAGAAGGCCCUUGGGUCGUAAACUUCUGUUCUGAGGGAAGAAAGUGACGGUACCUCAGGAGCAAGUCCCGGCUAACUACGUGCCAGCAGCCGCGGUAAUACGUAGGGGGCAAGCGUUAUCCGGAAUUAUUGGGCGUAAAGAGUACGUAGGUGGUUACCUAAGCACGGGGUAUAAGGCAAUGGCUCAACCAUUGUUUGCCUUGUGAACUGGGCUACUUGAGUGCAGGAGAGGAAAGCGGAAUUCCUAGUGUAGCGGUGAAAUGCGUAGAUAUUAGGAGGAACACCAGUGGCGAAGGCGGCUUUCUGGACUGUAACUGACACUGAGGUACGAAAGCGUGGGGAGCAAACAGGAUUAGAUACCCUGGUAGUCCACGCCGUAAACGAUGAGCACUAGGUGUCGGGGUCGUAAGACUUCGGUGCCGCAGUUAACGCAAUAAGUGCUCCGCCUGGGGAGUACGUUCGCAAGAAUGAAACUCAAAGGAAUUGACGGGGACCCGCACAAGCAGCGGAGCAUGUGGUUUAAUUCGAUGAUACGCGAGGAACCUUACCCGGGCUUGAAUUGCAGACGAAUUACGAGGAAACUUGUAAGCCGCAAGGCGUCUGUGAAGGUGCUGCAUGGUUGUCGUCAGCUCGUGCCGUGAGGUGUCGGCUUAAGUGCCAUAACGAGCGCAACCCUUGUCGCCGGUUACUAUCAGGUGAAGCUAAGGACUCCGGCGAGACUGCCAUCGUAAGAUGUGAGGAAGGUGGGGAUGACGUCAAAUCAGCACGGCCCUUACGUCCGGGGCUACACACGUGUUACAAUGGGGGGUACAGAAGGCCGCUACCCGGCGACGGGAUGCCAAUCUCCAAAGCCCCUCUCAGUUCGGACUGGAGUCUGCAACCCGACUCCACGAAGCUGGAUUCGCUAGUAAUCGCGCAUCAGCCACGGCGCGGUGAAUACGUUCCCGGGCCUUGUACACACCGCCCGUCAAGCCAUGAAAGCCGGGGGUACCUGAAGUGCGUAACCGCGAGGAGCGCCCUAGGGUAAAACCGGUAAUUGGGGCUAAGUCGUAACAAGGUA
rnacentral:rRNA from 1 species